rnacentral:misc_RNA from 1 species
GAUGAAGAACGUAGCGAAAUGCGAUAAGUAAUGUGAAUUGCAGAAUUCAGUGAAUCAUCGAAUCUUUGAACGCACAUUGCGCCCGUCAGUAUUCUGGCGGGCAUGCCUGUUCGAGCGUCAUUACGCCCCUCAAGUCCCCUGUGGACUUGGUGUUGGGGAUCGGCGAGGCUGGUUUUCCAGCACAGCCGUCCCUUAAAUUAAUUGGCGGUCUCGCCGUGGCCCUCCUCUUCGCAGUAGUAAAACACUCGCAACAGGAGCCCGGCGCGGUCCACUGCCGUAAAACCCCCCAACUUUUUAUAGUUGACCUCGAAUCAGGUAGGACUACCCGCUGAACUUAAGCAUAUCAAUAAGCGGAGGA